rnacentral:rRNA from 1 species
AUUGAACGCUGGCGGCAUGCCUUACACAUGCAAGUCGAACGGCAGCACGGGAGCAAUCCUGGUGGCGAGUGGCGAACGGGUGAGUAAUAUAUCGGAACGUGCCCAGUCGUGGGGAUAACGUAGCGAAAGCUACGCUAAUACCGCAUACGAUCUAUGGAUGAAAGCGGGGGAUCGCAAGACCUCGCGCGAUUGGAGCGGCCGAUAUCAGAUUAGGUAGUUGGUGAGGUAAAGGCUCACCAAGCCGACGAUCUGUAGCUGGUCUGAGAGGACGACCAGCCACACUGGGACUGAGACACGGCCCAGACUCCUACGGGAGGCAGCAGUGGGGAAUUUUGGACAAUGGGCGCAAGCCUGAUCCAGCAAUGCCGCGUGCAGGAUGAAGGCCUCGGUU